CCUACGGGAGGCAGCAGUAGGGAAUCUUUCACAAUGGGCGAAAGCCUGAUGCAGCAACGCCGCGUGCAGGAUGAAGGCCUUCGGGUUGUAAACUGCUUUUAUAAGCGAGAAAUAUGAUGGUAACUUAUGAAUAAGGAUCGGCUAACUACGUGCCAGCAGCCGCGGUCAUACGUAGGAUCCGAGCAUUAUCCGGAGUGACUGGGUGUAAAGAGUUGGGUAAGUGGGAUAAUAGGUAGCGAGUUAAAUCUGGUGGUUCAACCAUUGAGACUAUUUGAAAAACUGUUAAGCUCGAGAGCGUUAGCGGUAAGUGGAAUUUCUAGUGUAGGAGUGAAAUCCGUAGAUAUUAGAAAGAACACCGAUAGCGUAGGCAGGUUACUGGGACGGUUCUGACACUGAGGCACGAAAGCGUAGGGAGCAAACGGGAUUAGAUACCCCAGUAGUC
rnacentral:rRNA from 1 species